ACUCUUCACUGGCAGGGGAGAUACCAUGAUAAUAAAAGAGGUCCCAGGGUAAGGCUCAUCCAUUGCACUUCAGGUGUGCUGAUCCCUGUGAUUUCCCCAAAUGUGGGAAAAUAAACUGUCUAAUUCAUGGUAGUGGGGCACUGAGUUUGUGGUUUCCCCUA
rnacentral:snRNA from 1 species